UAAAUAAUCAUGAAAUUAACUCUUAAAAUUAAUUUCAUAGAUUAAAUAGUAAGUAACUUUACAGCCUAAGGCAAUGAUCAAGCUCCCAGUCCUAGCCCUAGGAUUAAAGUCAAGAUAAUUAAGACUCUCCUAGACACUCAUUUUGAUGGUAAUAAGGAUAGCUAUUUACUACCUUCCUAAUUAUUUUGGUUUUAAAUUGAUUAAUACUAAUGAUGCAUAAGAAUGGUGGAUUUAAUGUCUUUAUUUGAUAUAUUUGUGCUUAUUAUUUAGAUGUAUAUCUUAGUUUUAAUUGUGUUUUUUAAUAUUUACUCAUUUCAUGAACUUCA
rnacentral:misc_RNA from 1 species